CCGGAAGUGUGGGGGUGGAAGCAUUGAAGGAGGAGAUCACAGCAGGAAAUGAAGCCAUAUCCUGUACACGCUGGCUACCACAUAUGAACCAUCAGAGAGAUGGAGGGCAAUGUCUGGAAGAAGGACGGGAAGAGGGAAUAUAAGAACAUUCAGUAUUAAUGGAUUCCAAACUCCGUGUGAUAACCAGCCGGUCCUGGACCAGUUUAUCAUCGCAGUGUGGACUGAUUCUCUUUUGCAGGAAGUUAGUUUUGACUUCACCAGCUGGAUUGGAGGGCACCUGUGGCAUACCUUGUCCUAUUGCUGUGGGGGACUUCGUCCAGCUUUUAGACAUGCAAGACUAAAUGUGAAUACCAUCUAUACGUAAGUGGCUGAGAAAAUGCUGUGGAGAAGCUUACAGCUCUCCAUCAUCAGCGAUAUAAGCACACUUUGAUUAAUCAGGUGAACUGCAUACAAUCAGGUAGUCUUGCUGAGGAUGAAGAACUUUAUAUGGAUUUG
rnacentral:lncRNA from 1 species